rnacentral:lncRNA from 1 species
AGGCACGGAGUGAGGUUUCAGCCUGGCCAGGUGCUACGGCUGAGGGCUGACUGCCUCAGCACAGCCUGUGCAGCAAAAGCCUGGAGCAGGCUGAGAACUGGAGUGGGGAAUGGGGGAGUCACUGAGCAGGGCUUGUGGCAGCAUGUGGUGCCAUAGGGGGCUCCUGGAAAGCAACCCAGAGUGAGGUGGGUCUACAAGGAGGACGCCAUUCACCAGGUGGGGCAGAUCCAGAGAGGCUAGUUCUCAAAUUUUGCAUAAGGGUUCUCCUCCUUGAACAGGCCGUAUUUCCUUCGGAUUUCAUCAUGCCGUGACUUCAUCUCUGCUCUCCUCUCCUCCUGGCGCACUCGCCUGCGCUCCCGCUCCCGGGCAGCUCGUUCAUCCUCCUUGUCUGGCUUUUUGCUCUUCUUCUUACAACAGCAGCAGCAGCAGACAAGCAGCAUGAUGAGGAUCAUUCCACCCACCACAGACAUGGCGAUGAUCAGGGCUUCAAAAUUCACCCAGCAGACACCCCAGCGUGCAGAGCGGAGCUCACAGAGGUCAGCAGGUGGGAGGAUCCUCCGGACAGGGUAUGGCACACACCUCCUGCUGCUGGCACACCACAGGCAGGUGACAUUCUUCAGGCACUCCUCGCAGCUUCUGUUUGUGUACUGCUGACAUUCCCCCGCCGCCUCCUGCUGCUGCGCGGCGGCCGCGGGGAGCAGCAGCACCGCGAGCAACGCGACGCACAGCCGCAGCGCGGGCGGCGGGGCCAUGGCGGCACCGGCACACGGGGGCGGUGGGGCGGCCGCCGCCUUUCUAGGGCCGCCGGGGUGGGGCGGGACCGACGGGGGCGUGCCGGGGGCGGCCCCGAGCUGCUCGGCCCCGGGGCGCGGAGCGCCGCGGGACCCCCACGCGCGGCGGCGUGCGCGGCGGCCGCGGGAGCGGCGGGGCGAGGCGCGUCCCCGCUGUCGCCGUCCGUCCCCGCGGCGCCGGUCCGGGCGCAGCCCCGCCGCGCGUGGGCGCCGCCGCGCGGGUUUGGUGUCGGCACGGGGGGAA